rnacentral:rRNA from 1 species
UGGAGUGUGAGGAGCUUAAACACCUUCAUGUUUUGCAUAUUCGUACUCUUGGGUGUACUUGCCCGUGUGGUUAGUUAACAUCAAUUUUGGUUGUCAUAAAAUGACUGGAGGAAUGUAGCUUCGAUCUCGUAUUGAAGUGUUAUAGCCUUCGGUAGAUGUGAUGAUCAAGAUUGAGGAUUGCAACGGAUACCCUUCGGGGCUACCUGUCUGAUCUCUGAUCGUUGCUCUGGUGCCGAAAGCUUGCUUACGGUUAUCAAAGUCGAUGGUCAAAAGGUUAGAACGGGUUAAA